AAUUGGAUGCAGAAAAUUGGAUUAGAUAAGUAUAUCUAUGUGUUUAGUUUUGUUUUGUCUGAUUUUAGUUUUUGUCUUUUCUUUUGCAGGUCCAGAUUGUCCAGGAUUUUAAAUUUGUCCAGUGGGAUUUGGAAAGGAAAGCGAUGCCAUGGAUUUAUAAGAAGCAUCGUUGGGGAGGUUCAUGUAUGUCGGGAUAUUUUCAUUAUACCACUACUAUUAUAAAGAGGUCGAAUUUGAGGGUCACCAUUUUGGCCUUUUGCCGGGCCGGCAGCGCCACACCCAGAAUUCAGAAGGGCGAGGGGGCAUUCCGACAUGGAAACGGCAUCAAAACAUUAUACGUUUUUAAUGUUUUAGGUGCCAAAGACAUCGUAUUUUGUUGCGUCUAGUAGGGAUAUUGUAGUUGCUACCGGGAAAAAAGUUGAAUUCAGGGGUCACGAUUUUGACCUUUUGCCGGGUCGGCAGCGCCGCACCAAGGGUCAAUAAAAUCGAGGGUGCUUCUUGACAUGGGGACGGCAUCGAAACUUUGUGCAUUUUUAUAUAUAUUAUUAUAUAUUACACUGUUAUGUGUUUUGAUUAAAUUAUUACAAUCUUUAACGGAGAUUUCGUCAAUAUUGCAUUUCUGAGGGAAAAAAGUCAGUUUUAGAGGUUUCUAU